UACGGAGGAUGCAAGCGUUAUCCGGAAUGAUUGGGCGUAAAGCGUCCGCAGGUGGCAAUGUAAGUCUGCUGUCAAAGCGUCUGGCUCAACCAGAUAAAGGCAGUGGAAACUACAUAGCUAGAGUAAGGUAGGGGUAGAGGGAAUUCCUGGUGUAGCGGUGAAAUGCGUAGAGAUCAGGAAGAACAUCGGUGGCGAAGGCGCUCUGCUGGACCAUAACUGACACUCAGGGACGAAAGCUAGGGGAGCGAAUGGG
rnacentral:rRNA from 1 species